rnacentral:rRNA from 1 species
GGAAACGACUGCUAAUACCCAAUGUGCCGAGAGGUGAAACUUUUUUAGCCUGAAGAGGAGCUCGCGUCCGAUUAGUUAGUUGGUGGGGUAAGAGCCUACCAAGACAGCGAUCGGUAGCUGGUCUGAGAGGGUGAGCAGCCACACUGGGACUGAGACACGGCCCAGACUCCUACGGGAGGCAGCAGUGGGGAAUUUUCCGCAAUGGGCGAAAGCCUGACGGAGCAAUACCGCGUGAGGGAGGAAGGCUUUUGGGUUGUAAACCUCUUUUUUCAAGGAAGAAGCAAGUGACGGUACUUGAAGAAUCAGCAUCGGCUAACUCCGUGCCAGCAGCCGCGGUAAUACGGAGGAUGCAAGCGUUAUCCGGAAUUAUUGGGCGUAAAGCGUCCGCAGGUGGCAUAUCAAGUCUGCUGUCAAAGACAGAAGCUUAACUUCUGAGAGGCAGUGGAAACUGGUAAGCUAGAGUACGGUAGGGGUUGAGGGAAUUCCCAGUGUAGCGGUGAAAUGCGUAGAUAUUGGGAAGAACACCAGUGGCGAAGGCGCUCAACUGGGCCGUAACUGACACUCAGGGACGAAAGCUAGGGGAGCGAAAGGGAUUAGAUACCC